AGUCGAACGCUUCUUUUUCCACCGGAGCUUGCUCCACCGGAAAAAGAGGAGUGGCGAACGGGUGAGUAACACGUGGGUAACCUGCCCAUCAGAAGGGGAUAACACUUGGAAACAGGUGCUAAUACCGUAUAACAAUCAAAACCGCAUGGUUUUGAUUUGAAAGGCGCUUUCGGGUGUCGCUGAUGGAUGGACCCGCGGUGCAUUAGCUAGUUGGUGAGGUAACGGCUCACCAAGGCCACGAUGCAUAGCCGACCUGAGAGGGUGAUCGGCCACAUUGGGACUGAGACACGGCCCAAACUCCUACGGGAGGCAGCAGUAGGGAAUCUUCGGCAAUGGACGAAAGUCUGACCGAGCAACGCCGCGUGAGUGAAGAAGGUUUUCGGAUCGUAAAACUCUGUUGUUAGAGAAGAACAAGGAUGAGAGUAACUGUUCAUCCCUUGACGGUAUCUAACCAGAAAGCCACGGCUAACUACGUGCCAGCAGCCGCGGUAAUACGUAGGUGGCAAGCGUUGUCCGGAUUUAUUGGGCGUAAAGCGAGCGCAGGCGGUUUCUUAAGUCUGAUGUGAAAGCCCCCGGCUCAACCGGGGAGGGUCAUUGGAAACUGGGAGACUUGAGUGCAGAAGAGGAGAGUGGAAUUCCAUGUGUAGCGGUGAAAUGCGUAGAUAUAUGGAGGAACACCAGUGGCGAAGGCGGCUCUCUGGUCUGUAACUGACGCUGAGGCUCGAAAGCGUGGGGAGCAAACAGGAUUAGAUACCCUGGUAGUCCACGCCGUAAACGAUGAGUGCUAAGUGUUGGAGGGUUUCCGCCCUUCAGUGCUGCAGCUAACGCAUUAAGCACUCCGCCUGGGGAGUACGACCGCAAGGUUGAAACUCAAAGGAAUUGACGGGGGCCCGCACAAGCGGUGGAGCAUGUGGUUUAAUUCGAAGCAACGCGAAGAACCUUACCAGGUCUUGACAUCCUUUGACCACUCUAGAGAUAGAGCUUCCCCUUCGGGGGCAAGUGACAGGUGGUGCAUGGUUGUCGUCAGCUCGUGUCGUGAGAUGUUGGGUUAAGUCCCGCAACGAGCGC
rnacentral:rRNA from 1 species